UACGGAGGGUGCAAGCGUUAUCCGGAUUCACUGGGUUUAAAGGGUGCGUAGGUGGGCCUGUAAGUCAGCGGUGAAAUCUCCGGGCUUAACCCGGAAACUGCCAUUGAUACUAUAGGUCUUGAAUUAUCUGGAGGUAAGCGGAAUAUGUCAUGUAGCGGUGAAAUGCUUAGAUAUGACAUAGAACACCAAUUGCGAAGGCAGCUUACUACGGAUCGAUUGACACUGAGGCACGAAAGCGUGGGGAUCAAACAG
rnacentral:rRNA from 1 species